rnacentral:rRNA from 2 species
GUGCGAGACCGAUAGCGAACAAGUACCGUGAGGGAAAGAUGAAAAGAACUUUGAAAAGAGAGUUAAAGAGUACCUGAAACUGCUGAAAGGGAAGCGAAUCGUAUCCAGUGUCUAUAAUCUGCGGCAUAUUUCAUUGGCGGCGGUGCGCGUGCUUUUGCGUCGGAAGCGGCUUUUGUUGCUCUGUGCUUUUGCUGUGCGUGUUGUUGCUGGUGCCCUGUGUUGCGGUGGGACGUCAGAGUCAGUUUGUAUGCUGCGGGAAAUGGCUGCCGAGGAGGUAGGUCGAGAUUUCGGUCUUGGCUGUUAUAUCUUGGUGGUUUGUUGUCGUGGUUGAGACUGAGGUGCCUACAAUGUGCUUUUGAGUGUACCGGGUUCUCAUUUGGUGGACUGUUUGGAUAGCUUGCUAUGCUUGUGGUUUUUUCAUCGGGUGAUUGAGUCUGGUGGUAACUUGUUGCUGUUCGGGACUUUGA